rnacentral:lncRNA from 1 species
CAAAUAUAAAAAGUGGAUCAAGGUUUAAAUUUGAUGUGGCAUACUUGAGGUAUGGUAAAGAUAGGAAACUUAAAAUUUUUGCUUCAAUUCUAUCAAAAACUCGAAAGAUUGGAUGUUUUUAGAUUUUGAUGUAAGGUGGUAUUUCUUGUUGGAAAUCAUUUGAUAAACUUAUAGAAUUUGAUAAAUUUAGAUCAGAGUGUA